GAUGAACGCUGGCGGCGUGCCUAAUACAUGCAAGUCGAGCGAACGGACGAGAAGCUUGCUUCUCUGAUGUUAGCGGCGGACGGGUGAGUAACACGUGGAUAACCUACCUAUAAGACUGGGAUAACUUCGGGAAACCGGAGCUAAUACCGGAUAAUAUUUUGAACCGCAUGGUUCAAAAGUGAAAGACGGUCUUGCUGUCACUUAUAGAUGGAUCCGCGCUGCAUUAGCUAGUUGGUAAGGUAACGGCUUACCAAGGCAACGAUGCAUAGCCGACCUGAGAGGGUGAUCGGCCACACUGGAACUGAGACACGGUCCAGACUCCUACGGGAGGCAGCAGUAGGGAAUCUUCCGCAAUGGGCGAAAGCCUGACGGAGCAACGCCGCGUGAGUGAAGAAGGUCUUCGGAUCGUAAAACUCUGUUAUUAGGGAAGAACAUAAGUGUAAGUAACUGUGCACAUCUUGACGGUACCUAAUCAGAAAGCCACGGCUAACUACGUG
rnacentral:rRNA from 1 species